rnacentral:rRNA from 1 species
AAUCUGAGCAGGGUGAGCCGACCCCUAAGGCGAGGCCGAGAGGCGUAGUCGAUGGGAACCUGGUUAAUAGUCCCGGGCCAGGAGGAUGUGACGGAUCGCAGAGCUUGUUUGCCCUUAUCGGAUUGGGCGGGCGGGUGAGCGGUUCCUGGAAAUAGCCCUCCAUGAGAUCGUACCCUAAACCGACACAGGUGGACUGGUAGAGCAUACCAAGGCGCUUGAGAGAACGAUGUUGAAGGAACUCGGCAAAAUACCUCCGUAAGUUCGCGAGAAGGAGGCCCCACGCUUGCGCAAGCAGGAGUGGGGGGCACAAACUAGGGGGUGGCGACUGUUUACUAAAAACACAGGGCUGUGCGAAGCCGCAAGGCGACGUAUACAGUCUGACGCCUGCCCGGUGCUGGAAGGUUAAAGGGAGGGGUGCAAGCUCCGAACUGAAGCCCCAGUAAACGGCGGCCGUAACUAUAACGGUCCUAAGGUAGCGAAAUUCCUUGUCGGGUAAGUUCCGACCUGCACGAAUGGCGUAACGACUUCCCCGCUGUCUCCAACAUCGACUCAGCGAAAUUGAAUUGCCCGUGAAGAUGCGGGCUUCCCGCGGUUAGACGGAAAGACCCCAUGCACCUUUACUCUAGCUUCGCACUGGCAUCAGGAUUGCGAUGUGCAGGAUAGGCGGUAGGCUUUGAAGCGGGGACGCUAGUCUUCGUGGAGCCGUCCUUGAGAUACCGCCCUUCGCCAUCUUGAUGUCUAACCGCGGUCCGUUAUCCGGAUCCGGGACCCUGCGUGGUGGGGAGUUUGACUGGGGCGGUCGCCUCCCAAAUCGUAACGGAGGCGCGCGAAGGUUGGCUCAGGGCGGUCGGAAAUCGCCCGUUGAGUGCAAUGGCAUAAGCCAGCCUGACUGCGAGACUGACACGUCGAGCAGAGUCGAAAGACGGCCAUAGUGAUCCGGUGGUCCCACGUGGGAGGGCCAUCGCUCAACGAAUAAAAGGUACGCUGGGGAUAACAGGCUGAUACUGCCCAAGAGUCCAUAUCGACGGCAGUGUUUGGCACCUCGAUGUCGGCUCAUCUCAUCCUGGGGCUGGAGCAGGUCCCAAGGGUAUGGCUGUUCGCCAUUUAAAGAGGUACGUGAGCUGGGUUUAGAACGUCGUGAGACAGUUCGGUCCCUAUCUUCCGUGGGUGCAGGAGACUUGAGAGGAGUUGCCCCUAGUACGAGAGGACCGGGGUGAACGUUCCACUGGUGGACCGGUUGUUGCGCCAGCAGCAGUGCCGGGUAGCUAUGAACGGACAGGAUAACCGCUGAAGGCAUCUAAGCGGGAAGCCCCCCUCAAAACCAGGUCUCCCUGAGGACCGUGGCAGACCACCACGUCGAUAGGCCGGAGAUGCACGCGCAGCAAUGCGCUCAGUUGACCGGUACUAAUCGUCCAAUAGGCUUGAUCCGAUCC